ACGUGACCCCACAGCCCCUCACGUGACCCCUCAUGUGACCCCGUAACCCCUCCCGUGACCCCGCAGCCCGCCCACGUGACCCCUCACGUGACCCCUCAUGAGACCCCGUAGCCCCUCACAUGACCCCUACGUGACCCCACAGCCGCCCAAGUGACCCCCCACGAGACCCCGUAGCCCCUCACGUGACCCCUACGUGACCCCACAGCCGCCCAAGUGACCCCCCACGUGACCCCACAGCCCCUCACGUGACCCCAUGACCCCACCCGUGACCCCUCCCAUAACUCCACAGCCCCUCACGUGACCCCACAGCCCCCCCACGUGACCCCUCACAUGACCCCACAGAUCCCCACGUGACCCCUCACAUGACCCCGUAGCCCCCCCCACGUGACCCCACAGCCCCUCACAUGACCCCAUCGCCCCCCCAUAUGACCCCAUAGCCCCCCAUGUGACCUCUCAUGUGACCCCACAGCCCCUCACGUGACCCUGUAGCCCCUCACGUGACCUCUCACGUGACCCCACAGCCCCUCACAUGACCCCAUAGACCCCCCCACAUGACCCCUCACGUGACCACACAGCCCCUCACGUGACCACACAGCCCCCCAUGCGACCCCAUAGCCCCCC
ensembl:lncRNA